rnacentral:lncRNA from 1 species
CAACCACUUUCACAAAAACUCCAUAGCUGCUCCCAGGGUGUGGUGAAUGGAGUAAUGGCAGAAAUGGCUCAGAGUUGAUGGGAAGCUUUUGCCCUGGGGGCUCAGCGGACUGAAAAGUAUCUGCCAUCCAAAUGGAGAUGCACAGAGGAGGGGCAACAACAAAUUUGUAAAAUGGUUCCAAUGAAAAGCAACAGACAAACAACAUUCAAUUUCAUCAGUUUUUGGAAGAAGAACAUUACUGCCACAUAUCCAGCCAUAAGAUGAAGAU